rnacentral:ncRNA from 1 species
AUGGAGUAAGCCGAAAAUCCGAAGAAGAGUAGGCA